rnacentral:lncRNA from 1 species
AGAGAGAAGAGAAAGAUGAAAAAAAUGAAAAAAAAAUGUGGAAAACAUUAUCUGUGAAAGGUGAGAAGAAAGAUCAAUGCUAGAUUAGCAUCACUGAUGGAGAAUGGGCAUAGGAGGUUAGAGGAUGGAAGGAAAAACAUGCAACAUGGGGAGAAAUUAGAAGGGAGCAGCUGAAAAAGAAGAAUAAAAGGACAAACCCCCAAAAAAACUUACCUAUUUGAGAUGAAGG